GAAGAGCAAAUGGAGGCUUUUGACUUUCUUCAGUGGUUUAAUACUGCACGGCUGUGGUUUGAGAGCUAGGAAGGGGGGAGGAAGUUAACUCUGGGGUAAAAUUGAAGAUGGAGGCAUGUGGAUGUAGUGCUUUUUGGAAGAUCUUUCCUUAACAACUGCUGCUGUCUUUAUUUUUCAGUAUGAAGUUGCUCUUGAGCUGCUGGAAGGUGAGAGCAAGAGAAGAAUAAGAGGACCUUUACCCUAGAAAGCGCAAAACACUGUUGCCAACUAAUCUCUGAUGGUCAGACAGCUCCUGGAAUGAUUGCAACGGUGGCUUUGCUGAAUGGCUGUCCUUAGUGCCCCGCUUUGCUGCCCCUUCUGGGGUACGUGUGUCCUCUAGCUGAGAGUUCUCCUUGCGCUUUGGCCAGUCAUGACCCUCAAUUCCAUUCAUUUGAAUUGGUUGGGAGUUUAUCAGCUUUGACACCUACUUCCAGUGUUGUAAUCUGCGGUUCCCCCAGGAGCUGCUGUUUCUGUUGGAGGGGGUCUGCAGAGCUGAAAAGUGGCAAGAGGCUGGCUGCAAACUGCCUCCAGGAGCAAACCGCCCCAGCGGAGCUCAGCGAAAGCCACAGCCAAGACUGGAGGUGGAAGAAGUGAAAGGUGAACGCUCUAGUUUGCAGCAUCCGUCACAGGUCCCAGCACAAGCCCCAGGAGAUAUGUUUCCUGGCACCGCAGGGGAUAGAAAAGCACACACUGCUCUCCUUUGAAGAGAGUUAGAGCUUGCUUCGGCUGACCAGAGAGCGGGCGUGCAGCCAGCUGGGAAGGGAGCUCGCUUUGGGACUGGGAGCAACAAUGGGAAAGGGGAGCCAGGCUGUGGGCUCUGGACAAUAGGCUCCUCAGCUGCAGUUUCACAUGGCUCCACUUGACAAUAGUCAUGAAUUACCAGGUGGUGACCUGUGUCACAAGCAGACUGGGUUUACUGUUGUGGCUGCUACCACUGAGCUGGCUGCAGCGGUUUGGUCCCUCUUCCGUGGCCUCCAGCCGGACGGUGGUGGAGCAGCGGCUGGCCACAUUGGUGCUGCUGCCUAGAGCCCACGCCAGCUGCCGUGGUUCGGGCAUGCGGCAGGAGCUGGAAGUGGCCGUUCCAGAUAUGGAGCUGUCACUUGGUGCACCAUGGUCUCAAUUUCCCUUGCUGUGCAAUUAAUGUGGAAAUUCCUGGGAUCUUUGCCCAGAAGUGAUUUGUAGGAAUUACAAUGGCAAGGGAGUGCUAGCAAAAGCAGGGUGGAAAAGCUCUACUUUCAUUUGGGGUUGUUAUCCCUGUUCCCUGUAGUCCCUGCCAACAUACAUACCCCCCUCCCUUCUUCAAAGAAUUAAAAUAUUGCUGUCAAUAAAUAAAAGCACCUUAGCAACAGACUACAUAAUGCUAGUUAUUAUUACUAGAAAUAAAAGUCAAACAGCAGUAGGGCUGUAAUUACACUUAAAUUCAUCUAUUCUUUCUUUCCCUGGGAAAGGUCAUUUAAGUGCCUGUUUGUUUUACACAGAGGCAGCCGUAAAGCCAAACAAGCCUACACUUCUUUCUCCAAAAUACCAAUGUGCUAUUAGCAGAGCCACAGUCCAGCUUAUAAAACUAAAUACUUAAGUCAUUUGAAUUUUGUUUUUCCUAUUUACUAAGGAACUAGCUUAGGCUACAGUUUCAAAAUAGUAACUGCAGAUUUUUAAUGUCCUGAAUGACACGGCUUCAAUUGCUAAUAAUUGCAAACAAGAGA